GAUGAACGCUGGCGGCGCGCCUAACACAUGCAAGUCGAACGAUUAAACCGCCCUUGGGCGGAUAUACAGUGGCGAACGGGUGAGUAACGCGUGACCAACCUUCCCCCCGCAUCGGGACAACCCGGGGAAACCCGGGCUAAUACCGGAUAUGCCGGGUAUGGCGCAUGUCAUACCCAGGAAAGCUUUUGCGGCGGGGGAUGGGGUCGCGUCCCAUCAGGUAGACGGCGGGGUAGUAGCCCACCGUGCCAACGACGGGUAGCCGGGUUGAGAGACCGACCGGCCACAUUGGGACUGAGAUACGGCCCAGACUCCUACGGGAGGCAGCAGUGGGGAAUCUUGCGCAAUGGGGGAAACCCUGACGCAGCGACGCCGCGUGCGGGAUGGAGGCCUUCGGGCCGUGAACCGCUUUCAGCAGGGAAGACAUUAAGGACGGU
rnacentral:rRNA from 1 species